CCACCGGCCCUUUUCAGGGCCACCAAUUUAUCAUGGAGAACUGUAU
rfam:Branchiostoma floridae genomic scaffold BRAFLscaffold_251, whole genome shotgun sequence.